rnacentral:rRNA from 1 species
UGAGAUUUAUCCUGGCUCAGAUAACGCGGCGGCGUGCCUAAUACAUGCAAGUCGAGCGAAUGGAUUAAGAGCUUGCUCUUAUGAAGUUAGCGGCGGACGGGUGAGUAACACGUGGGUAACCUGCCCAUAAGACUGGGAUAACUCCGGGAAACCGGGGCUAAUACCGGAUAACAUUUUGAACUGCAUGGUUCGAAAUUGAAAGGCGGCUUCGGCUGUCACUUAUGGAUGGACCCGCGUCGCAUUAGCUAGUUGGUGAGGUAACGGCUCACCAAGGCAACGAUGCGUAGCCGACCUGAGAGGGUGAUCGGCCACACUGGGACUGAGACACGGCCCAGACUCCUACGGGAGGCAGCAGUAGGGAAUCUUCCGCAAUGGACGAAAGUCUGACGGAGCAACGCCGCGUGAGUGAUGAAGGCUUUCGGGUCGUANNGNCUUCUGUUGUUANGG